rnacentral:rRNA from 1 species
AUUUNAACGCUGGCCGGCAGGCUUAACUCAUGCAAGUCGCGCGGUAACAGGGGAGCUUGCUCCUGCUGACGAGCGGCGGACGGGUGAGUAACGCGUAGGAAUCUACCUAGUAGAGGGGGACAACAUGUGGAAACGCAUGCUAAUACCGCAUACACCCUAAGGGGGAAAGGAGGGGACUCUUCGGAGCCUUCCGCUAUUAGAUGAGCCUGCGUGAGAUUAGCUAGUUGGUAGGGUAAAGGCCUACCAAGGCGACGAUCUCUAACUGGUCUGAGAGGAUGACCAGUCACACUGGGACUGAGACACGGCCCAGACUCCUACGGGAGGCAGCAGUGGGGAAUAUUGGACAAUGGGCGGAAGCCUGAUCCAGCCAUGCCGCGUGUGUGAAGAAGGCCUUAGGGUUGUAAAGCACUUUCAGGGGUGAGGAAGGGUAACUGGCUAAUAUCCAGUUAUCUUGACGUUAGCCCCAGAAGAAGCACCGGCUAACUCUGUGCCAGCAGCCGCGGGUAAUA